rnacentral:rRNA from 1 species
CUACGGGCUGCUCCAGUGAGGAAUAUUGCACAAUGGGCGCAAGCCUGAUGCAGCCAUGCCGCGUGUAUGAAGAAGGCCUUCGGGUUGUAAAGUACUUUCAGCGGGGAGGAAGGGAGUAAAGUUAAUACCUUUGCUCAUUGACGUUACCCGCAGAAGAAGCACCGGCUAACUCCGUGCCAGCAGCCGCGGUAAUACGGAGGGUGCAAGCGUUAAUCGGAAUUACUGGGCGUAAAGCGCACGCAGGCGGCUUGUUAAGUCAGAUGUGAAAUCCCCGGGCUCAACCUGGGAACUGCAUCUGAUACUGGCAAGCUUGAGUCUCGUAGAGGGGGGUAGAAUUCCAGGUGUAGCGGUGAAAUGCGUAGAGAUCUGGAGGAAUACCGGUGGCGAAGGCGGCCCCCUGGACGAAGACUGACGCUCAGGUGCGAAAGCGUGGGGAGCAAACAGGAUUAGAUACCCUUGUAGUC